rfam:Oryza meridionalis cultivar OR44 (W2112) chromosome 9, whole genome shotgun sequence.
UAUUAGGUUUUCGUGUCUAACAUUUAACCGUUUGUCUUAUUUAAAAAAUUUAUAAAAAAUUUUAAAAAGAUAAGUCAUACAUAAAGUAUUAUUCAUAUUUUAUCAUCUAACAAUAAUGAAAAUACCAAUAAUAAAACAAAUUUAUAUAAGACGGACAAUCAAACCUUGGACACGAAAACCGAAGAAUUCGGUCUUU